AUGAAUUAUUUGAUCCAGAUUUCGUCCCAAAGCACGUAGGUAGCGAAACAACAAUAGGCAGAAGUAGAAGUAUAGAACUUAUAGCCAAAAGUAGCGACACGAUCCAAAUAACUAGAUUCCUCACGCGAUAUCUGUCGCCCACAUAUAACAAUAGCGGUAUAAAUAUAUGCUGAAUGCCACAAAGAUUUGUAAUCCCAAUUUGCUGUGAAUUUAAUCCAAACUGUUUCAUGAAUACAUGAGAAAAUUCUUCAUAAACCGAGGCACUAGACGCCGUGAAAAAAUACCACUUAAGAGCGAUUGAUUUAAUGUCGAAUAUUGCCAUAACCUGAGAACCUGCAUGCACCAACACUUUACAGUUGAAUGCCUU